rnacentral:lncRNA from 1 species
UGCUCGCACUGUUAAAAGUGUAUUUAAAAAAUUAGCCCCGCUCUUCUUCGCCCCCGCAAAAGGGCGAAAACCUCCCAAAUCUACACCUUUGAAGAUAAAAGAAAACUAAAAAUGCCAUUCCGUAGCGAAUGACCAUAUCUAUCAGAUCACCAAAUUGGAAUUAUAAAAGCCAGAAUGAAGAAAUUAAUUUUCAGUGGCUAAACCCACCCCGUCCCGUCACUUUUAUUUGUUUUUUCCACAUUCUCUCAUUCACACUCUGCUUGUGUGCGGCCUCUGCCCCUGCCGUGCCUCUGCAGUGUACGGCUCUAUGGGAGGGGGGCGAGCUAAAGGAGCGUGUUGUCAUGAGAAAUGAUGCAGAUGUAUAUGACAAAUGAAGAAAAUAUGUAAAAUGUACUGAGUACCAGGUAUUAAAGUUGUGACGCGUAAGAAGCGUCUCACACGUCCCUUCUCGUUUAGUUUAACUUACUUUCUGCAUAUCAAUGUCUAUUGAGUUUUCCAGGUUUGUAGAGCCAGAGCAAGAUUGCAGCCAUCUUCCACUGAAUUUGGAAGGACUGCACCCUUAACAUAGCUUCAAAGGCAGGGACUUGAUGACCUUAACAACCUCCUCAACCCUGGCUGGAUUAAUAGGCAAGUACAUUUCUAGAGGUAUCUUUAGACUGUCAUAGGUCUUUCUAUGCUUAUCCACCGUUGCGAAUUGAAAAUGAGUGACUCUGGCCUCUAGAUACAGUGCAAAACGAAUUGGCCUGCUUUUCCUCGUUUCUAAAAAUAUCUCCGCUAGGACACCGGAAAGGAAGCUGUCUGAACGGUUUUCUUUGGAAGGAUUUAGUGCUCUUCCAAAGCGAGUACUCAGCAUCCGCUGUGUAAUCCAUACAUCCCCCCAUUCCCACCUUCGACGGUGCUGGGUGGAUCAAUGGCGGCAAAAUGGCUGACGCGCACGGUCUGCCAACUGGAGGCGUUUUGGGAGGGGCCAAACUGGAGGUGGUGAACAGGAGCUAUGAAGGAGCUAGGAAUUUUCUGGACUGGACGAAAUAUUCCCAGCUAUUCUGCAAGUGACCAAAGAGGCAAUCACCCCAUGGCUCAUCGGCAUUUCUAAACACAGGCUAUAUCCCUAUCCAAUGGAUAACCUCGAGAGCUGUCUUCCACCCAAAAGCAGGAAAGCGCUGCCAUUUGAGCCCCAAGGUUUUCAGACUGUCAAGCUUUACGUCUUUACUAAUAAAAACACUAGAAACGCU